rnacentral:rRNA from 1 species
GACAGAGGGUGCAAACGUUGUUCGGAUUUACUGGGCGUAAAGCGCGUGUAGGCGGCUUGGCAAGUUGGAUGUGAAAGCCCACGGCUCAACCGUGGAAGUGCACCCGAAACUGCGUAGCUAGAGUCCUGGAGAGGAAGGUGGAAUGCUUGGUGUAGAGGUGAAAUUCGUAGAUAUCAAGCGGAACACCGGUGGCGAAGGCGGCCUUCUGGACAGUGACUGACGCUGAGACGCGAAAGCGUGGGGAGCAAACAGG